rnacentral:rRNA from 1 species
GUGAGUAGUUCAGAGUUUGAUCCUGGCUCAGGAUGAACGCUAGCUACAGGCUUAACACAUGCAAGUCGAGGGGCAGCGCAGUGUAGCAAUACAUGGGCGGCGACCGGCGCACGGGUGCGUAACGCGUAUCCAACCUUCCCGUUACUCAGGGAUAGCCUUCCGAAAGGGAGAUUAAUACCUGAUGGUAUUCAAAUUUCGCAUGUUAUUUGAAUUAAAGAUUUAUCGGUAACGGAUGGGGAUGCGUGACAUUAGGUAGAUGGCGGGGUAACGGCCCACCAUGCCUACGAUGUCUAGGGGUUCUGAGAGGAAGGUCCCCCACACUGGAACUGAGACACGGUCCAG